GCCGAGGUGGCGAAACUGGUAGACGCACGGGACUCAAAAUCCCGCGAUAGCAAUAUCAUGUCGGUUCGAGUCCGACCCUCGGCACCA
rnacentral:tRNA from 1 species